AUCAUUAUUGAAUUAUCUUGAUGGGUUGUCGCUGGCCUCUUGAGGCAUGUGCACGCCUGUCUUGACUCUAUUCAUCCACCUGUGCACCUAUUGUAGUCCUUUACUCUAUGUUCUUUUAUCAUAAACCAUUUAGUAUGUCAUAAGAAUGUAUUCAAUGGGCCUUUGUGCCUAUAAAACCUUAUACAACUUUCAGCAACGGAUCUCUUGGCUCUCGCAUCGAUGAAGAACGCAGCGAAAUGCGAUAAGUAAUGUGAAUUGCAGAAUUCAGUGAAUCAUCGAAUCUUUGAACGCACCUUGCGCUCCUUGGUAUUCCGAGGAGCAUGCCUGUUUGAGUGUCAGUAAAUUCUCAACCUCUCUGGCUUUUUUGCCAGUUGGGGCUUGGAUUUGGGGGUGUUGCGGGCCGGUCAGCUCCUCUAAAAUGCAUUAGCGGAACCGUUUGCGAUCCGUCACAGGUGUGAUAAUUAUCUACGCCAGUGGGUUGCUCUCUGUCUUGUUCAGCUACCAACUGUCUGCACAGGACAAACUUAUUGAAUAUUUGACCUCAAAUCAGGUAGGACUACCCGCUGAACUUAA
rnacentral:rRNA from 1 species